GUGAAUCAUCGAAUCUUUGAACGCAAAUUGCGCUUCCUGGCAUCCCGGGGAGUAUGCCUGUUUGAGGGUCAGUAGUAAUAAAAAGUCGGUUGGGUUGCAAAUUGUGGCGUUUCCGGGGUUUGGGCGAGCUUAACAUUUUUGGGUAAGAGGCGUAAAAUUGACCUUUUUUGCGCAUUUUUAAACGUACAUAAAUUUUUUUUAUUCGUCUAUUCUUAAUGCCAAAAUCUUAUUAGAUGCGAUCACAUCGUGUGGCUUCGUGUCAAUAAAAUUUUAAUGAUUUGACGUCAAAUCAGGUAGGAGU
rnacentral:misc_RNA from 1 species